rnacentral:rRNA from 1 species
GACGAACGCUGGCGGCGUGCCUAAUACAUGCAAGUCGAACGAGAGCGACCGGUGCUUGCACUGGUCAAUCUAGUGGCGAACGGGUGAGUAACACGUGGGUAACCUGCCCAUCAGAGGGGGAUAACAUCCGGAAACGGAUGCUAAAACCGCAUAGGUCUUCGAGCCGCAUGGCUUGAAGAGGAAAAGAGGCGCAAGCUUCUGCUGAUGGAUGGACCCGCGGUGCAUUAGCUAAUUGGUGAGGUAACGGCUCACCAAGGCCGUGAUGCAUAGCCGACCUGAGAGGGUGAUCGGCCACAUUGGGACUGAGACACGGCCCAAACUCCUACGGGAGGCAGCAGUAGGGAAUCUUCCGCAAUGGACGCAAGUCUGACGGAGCAACGCCGCGUGAGUGAAGAAGGUUUUCGGAUCGUAAAACUCUGUUGUUAGAGAAGAACAAGUGCUAGAGUAACUGUUAGCGCCUUGACGGUAUCUAACCAGAAAGCCACGGCUAACUACGUG